rnacentral:rRNA from 1 species
UACGUAGGGGGCAAGCGUUGUCCGGAUUUAUUGGGCGUAAAGAGCGUGUAGGCGGCCAUUCAGGUCAGCUGUGAAAACUCGAGGCUCAACCUCGAGACGUCGGUUGAAACCGUUUGGCUAGAGUCCGGAAGAGGAGAGUGGAAUUCCCGGUGUAGCGGUGAAAUGCGCAGAUAUCGGGAGGAACACCGGUGGCGAAGGCGGGUCUCUGGGCCGAUACUGACGCUGAGGAGCGAAAGCGUGGGGAGCAAACAGG